GAACAAUUUCAAAAUAAAAACACAGAAAACAAAUGACCAGCAAAAUUGCUCUGAAGUCUUAAAAACAGAAAUAAAUACUUCAAUAAUCAUAGGUAAUAUGGAAAUCCAAUGUAUGACUUACCUAUAGAAAACCCUUCUGGAAUUUCAUUUAAAUCUAACGUCAAUAUGAGCUAUGUAGGAAGUCCAUUAAUAAAUAAGAAUAUUAUAUAGGUACACAUGUAUAUAUUAAUUUUAAGCCAUAUGCAGCCCUAUUUGAAAAUGUUAAAAAAAAAUCAUCAGGAUUAGUCCAUACUGAUUAUUAAAAAAUAAAAUUGUCAUUGCUCAUUGUAGAAGAUAAAUGUCAGCUGUGCAGCAGAUGUGUUUAUAGCCACCCAGUAAUCCUAUCGCCUCAAUAAUGCAUUUCCCUUUUUUUAGUUAAAAACUUAAUUACAUUAAGAAACUGUAUGUGUUUAGGAAUAUGAAUAUAGAAGGAGUAAUCAUCGUUUAGUAAAAUAAGUUUUACUUGCGUAGUAAAAUUUACUGUGUUUGUGAAGAUGCUGAUAGUACAUUACAUAUGGAGAUCCAAGUGCACAUAGUCACUAAUUCUUUAAACUAUGUUUGAUAUUAGUAAUAAUUUACUUUACAUAUAUAUCGGAAUUUAAUUGAAAAAUAGUAAAUGACUGCUAAUAUAC
rnacentral:lncRNA from 1 species